ensembl:lncRNA
UUGGGACUGAGUUUGGGCUGGGUUCGGGCUGGAUUUGGGCUGGGUUCGAGCAGCAGUUCGGCCAUCUCCAGCAUUUCGGAGCUCCUGCAUGCCCUCGGGCAGCGCGGGUGUUAACUGUGCUAUUUGAGCUCAUGCCGGCCGAGAGAACAGCCUGUCUGUGCGGCUCCUCUUUCCAUUUAUAGCUGUGUUUAGGCGAUCCAGCACACGGACCCUCGCGCUCUGACGCCUGGUGCCAAGCACGAGACAAAUGCUUCAUUGAUACGUGCAUACCGGGAGGGCAGCGGGGCCGGGACGGCGCUGAGCGGGGUGGCACGGGCUGGGGCCGGGUGGGUUGAGCCCGGGGUUGUGCCCAUGAGCACGGAGGAACUUAGAGCACACAGCUCUGCUGCUCUGCUGAGCGCUGCUGUCUCACCUGCCGGUCCUCAGUGCUGCCUGCUGGGGCUGGAGGGUCACAGAUGGGGUUUGUGGGCAGCUCAGCUCAAAGCAAACUGCUCUGAAUUGGGAAUGGAGGUGUCCCCUUCUCUCACUGCUAUCAGCUCAGCUCCCCAUGUGCACCCACAGACCCACCAUCCCCAGCAGAACCAUAGAAUAUCCCAAGUUAGAAUGGACCCAUAUGGAUCCCUGAGUCCAACUCCUGGCGAUAAGAAAGGAUUUUGUGCUUGGAAAACCUGGGGCAUCCUCCGAGGAGCUGAAUUGUGCUGGGUGGUGCCCAGCAGAGCAGAGGGCCUUUAGGUGGGAGCGUGGCUUCAGUGCUGAGCCUGGAGAUGCACACAGGGCAGAUGACACCCCUUAUAAAGCACAACGUGCCAUCUCACCCUUUCUCACAUCCCAUCCCCAGAAAUGGGACCCCAAAGGGCCGCCCUCACCUCCCAUUCCUGCCCGCUUCCCCUUUGCUCUGUGGAUGAGGACAGCUUUGCCCACCCAUCCAGGCUGGCUGAUCCUUUGCCCCGUGCUGCCACCAUGGCAAUGUUUACCCUGCUUAUCUCACUGCUCCCAAACCCCUAUUCCAACAGGAGCAGUGUCACCCUGCCUUCCCAUUGCCAUCAGCAUGCAGCGCUCCCCACGGCAUCGCCGUGCCCUACAUUUCAGCCCGGUGUUUUAAUGAGGGGUGGCUGCAUCACACCCCGAUGUCCCUCCUGCCUCUCCCCGCAGCACCCAGGACGAUUACAGCCAGCAUCCCUCCCCUCCUGUGCAAUUACAGCUCCAUCCUGCCUCGAUCCGCAUGGCCUCGGCGUGACUCACGUAACGACAGCCGCCCCUAAUGAAUCCUGGGUGCAUUCCUUCCAGGCUGGACGUGAUGUUAACGUGCCAUUUAGUAACCAGCCACCCCUUUUUUCUUCGUCAGCACAGCGAGUCGAGCCAGUUUCUUCCCCUGCCCCUCCUCUGCCACGGCUGCAACCUGUCCCUGUCAGCACCCAGGGCGUCAUUCCCUUUUGUGGAGGGGUUUCCUCACUGCUGCGCUCAUGCCCAGCAAUAGCAAUCUGCAAUGGGAAAGGAGAAUUGCCCACGUGUGUGUGUAUCAGAGCCAUCAGGAGAUGCUCCCAGACCCUGAAAGCUGCAGUGGAGGAGAUGGUGAUGGACACAAUGCAGCCUCUGCUCCUCACAGCCCGGGGCUGUGCUCCAGCAUUGCAUAGCCCAGCACUGAGAGCACCUGGAGCAGGACUGGGAUCCCAAUGCACCACCCCCAGUGGUUUCCAGCUGUGUGGCACAUCUGCCUGCACAGGGCACUGUGUUGGGCUCCCACAGCGUGCCCAGCCACUGCAAAUCCCCAACCCCAAACAGCCCUUGAAGAAGGGCUUGAAGAAGCUUCUCAUCAUGCCCUAAGCCUGCCCCGCUUGGGGGUCAGCAGUGCCCUAUGGGGAGCUGCCUGGUGGGGGGGAGCUGGAGCUGUCCUGGGGAUGUGUGUGUGUGUGUGCCCAUAGGAUGGGGCAGAUGGAUGGAGCACGAUGCUCUGAUAGAGAUUCUCGGGGGCUGCGGCGUGGGGAAGCAGGGAGGCAGGAUGGGGUGACAACAAGACAAACGUUUGGUGUCUCUCCCACGUGGAGCGGAGCCUGGACUCAGCCUGGAGCCACUCCAGCUCAAUGAGCAGCGUGUCCUGCAGCUUUGUCCAGGGCUGUUUCCAGGGAGCACUUGGCUGUGGGACAGGACAGCACUGAGAGCGUUGCUGUGGGUUUCCCCUCCCUGCAGUACACACACUGGGGUCUCUCCCUGUGCUCCCCCCUUGGUUCCUGCCCAGGUGUGCAGGCCCACAUCACAGAGCCCUCAGGAGGGAUUAAGGAGUCUGUUCGCUGUUUGAUUUCUGCAUGACAACUUCCAGCUGCUCUCUUGGUGACUGGGAGGGUAUUUAGCAGCCUGGAGCAUUAAAGGAUGCCCUGAACUGUGGCUGUCACCUCUGGGCUGUCUGAGACAUUGGCCCAGAUGGCUGUAAUUCAAGGCAAAAUGGGGAGCCUGGGGUGCUACCAGGUACAGCCUGAGUGCCAACAUGAAGUUUGGGUGUUGGAAGGGAUGCACAGCUCACGGCCCUUUUCCCUCCUGCCUCAUCCUUCCAGCCCCAGCAGCUCUAUGAGCACAGAUGUGCCAUGAUGCCUCAUCCCCUGAGCCCGGGGAUGCUGCAAGGCCGGGGGAUGCCACCAGCUCACCAUGGUCCCAGUCCAACAAACCAGCCUGGGGGCAGCUGGGACACAACACCCUCCCAAACAGGCCUGGGCAGUUCCAGGAGUCCCCACGCCGUGUGUCACCCCUUAGGAAGACACUCAUUGUCCCAUCACAGGAGACAGGCUGGAAAAAGGAAGUAACGAGGAGCUUUGUGAUACCCAUCUGCUCCUCUCCUGCAGACACGGCUCCAGGAGGCUGCAGUGCUGGUGCCAUGUGCUGGAGCCACGUGCCAGCCAACGUGCACAGUGCUACGGCACCAACCCUGCUGCAGCAUGGACAGGUGAGAUAAGGAGCUGUGCGUGCACCCUGUGCUCCAGCACCUCCCAUUGCACACAGCUGGGGGUUAAUCAGCCCCUCCUGCAUCCAGGCUUUGGGACACAGCAGCAGGUGGGCUGCAUCCCUGUAGGGUGUUCAUGCUCCAUGCCCUGAAACAGAGCUUUGCAAAGGCCCAAAGGCUGCUUUCAAAGGGCACCAGGAAAACCCUAAACCUGGAAAGCAGCAGCAGCAGCGAUAAGGGGCCGGUGGGGCGGGGAAGGAGUGGCCAUGGUAGUGCACUGUUUGCUCUGGGUUCACCGGCCCCAGCUGGAGCAGAGUGUGACAGCAGGUAAUAAAUGCAGCUGGCCAUGCCCUGUUCUUCGAGUA